GUGGGGAAUAUUGGGCAAUGGGCGAAAGCCUGACCCAGCAACGCCGCGUGAAGGAAGAAGGUCUUCGGAUCGUAAACUUCUAUCCUUGGUGAAGAUAAAGACGGUAGCCGAGAAGGAAGCCCCGGCUAACUACGUGCCAGCAGCCGCGGUAAUACGUAGGGGGCAAGCGUUGUCCGGAAUGAUUGGGCGUAAAGGGCGCGUAGGCGGCCUGGUAAGUCUGGAGUGAAAGUCCUGCUUUUAAGGUGGGAAUUGCGUUGGAUACUGUCGGGCUUGAGUGCAGGAGAGGUAAGUGGAAUUCCCGGUGUAGCGGUGAAAUGCGUAGAGAUCGGGAGGAACACCAGUGGCGAAGGCGACUUACUGGACUGUAACUGACGCUGAGGCGCGAAAGUGUGGGGAGCAAACAGGAUUAGAAACCCUAGUAGUCC
rnacentral:rRNA from 1 species